GACGAACGCUGGCGGCGUGCCUAACACAUGCAAGUCGAACGGUAAGGCUUUGCUCUUGCGGGGUUUUCGAGUGGCGAACGGGUGUGUAUCACGCGAGUAACCUGCCCUUGACUUUGGGGUAACUUAUGGAAACUCGGGUUAAUAUCGGAUAGGAGCACUUGCUGCAUGGUGGGGGUUGGAAAGUUGCGGCGGUUUGGGAUGGAAUCGUGGGUUAUCAGUUUGUUGGUGGGGUAGUGGCUUACCAAGGCGUUGACGGGUAGCCGGCCUGCGAGGGUGACCGGCCACAAACGGACUGGGGUACGAGCCGGAGUGCUACGGGGGGCAGCGGUGGGAAUUAUUGCACAAAGGGCGGAAGCCGUAUGCAACGACGCCGCGUGCGAAAAGACGGCCUGCGGGGUAGAAACCGCUUGCGCCUGUAACGAAGCGUGAGUGACGGUAAUGAGUAAAGAAGCACCGGCUAACUACGUG
rnacentral:rRNA from 1 species